GCCGGGCGCGAAGAUGGCGGCGGCGGCGGCGACGGCCGGGCACUCCUGAAGCAGCAGUUAUGGAGCUUCCCUCAGGGCCGGGGCCGGAGCGGCUCUUUGACUCGCACCGGUAAGAGACCCGGCGGGAAGAGACAGAUCCCCGCGUCCUCUGGGCCUUCGGCGCCUGACCACUUCGCCUCUCGCCCCCAGGCUCCCGGGUGACUGCUUCCUGCUGCUCGCGCUGCUGCUCUACGCGCCAGUCGGGUUCUGCCUCCUAGUCCUACGCCUCUUUCUCGGGAUCCACGUCUUCCUGGUCAGCUGCGCGCUGCCAGACAGCGUCCUUCGCAGGUUCCGACGCGGGCGUUCGGGGAGUGUCAGAGCUGGGUCUGGCUCGGGGCCACACAGUCACCACCUCCUGUGUCCCCAGGUUCGUAGUACGGACCAUGUGUGCGGUGCUGGGGCUCGUGGCCCGGCAGGAGGACUCCGGACUCCGGGAUCACAGUGUCAGGGUCCUCAUUUCCAACCACGUGACACCUUUCGACCACAACAUAGUCAAUUUGCUUACCACCUGUAGCACCGUGAGUGAGAGCGAGGCCGAGAGCGCCCCGGGGCGGUUCCCUGGGGCCCAGCUGAAGGCCCCCCUGGUCCCCACUCGCGUUCCCCAUGGAGGAUACUGAGCCUUACCCCUAACCCCGAUCCUCUACCCCACAUGUCAGGUUUUUUUUUUUCAUUUUCCUCAAUAUUUUUCUUCUUGCUUUCUCUUCUGGUUCCCAGCCUCUACUCAAUAGUCCCCCCAGCUUUGUGUGCUGGUCUCGGGGCUUCAUGGAGAUGAAUGGGCGGGGGGAGUUGGUGGAGUCACUCAAGAGAUUCUGUGCUUCCACGAGGCUUCCCCCCACUCCUCUGCUGCUAUUCCCUGAGGAAGAGGCCACCAAUGGCCGGGAGGGACUCCUGCGCUUCAGUUCCUGGCCAUUUUCUAUCCAAGACGUGGUACAACCUCUUACCCUGCAAGUUCAGAGACCCCUGGUCUCUGUGACGGUGUCAGAUGCCUCCUGGGUCUCAGAACUGCUGUGGUCACUUUUCGUCCCUUUCACGGUGUAUCAAGUAAGGUGGCUUCGUCCUGUUCAUCGCCAACUAGGGGAAGCGAAUGAGGAGUUUGCACUCCGUGUACAACAGCUGGUGGCCAAGGAAUUGGGCCAGACAGGGACACGACUCACUCCAGCUGACAAAGCAGAGCACAUGAAGCGACAAAGACACCCCAGAUUGCGCCCCCAGUCAGCCCAGUCUUCUUUCCCUCCCUCCCCUGGUCCUUCUCCUGAUGUGCAACUGGCAACUCUGGCUCAGAGAGUCAAGGAAGUUUUGCCCCAUGUGCCAUUGGGUGUCAUCCAGAGAGACCUGGCCAAGACUGGCUGUGUAGACUUGACUAUCACAAAUCUGCUUGAGGGGGCCGUAGCUUUCAUGCCUGAAGAUAUCACCAAGGGAACUCAGUCCCUACCCACUGCCUCUGCCCCCAAGGCAUUCGAUGCGUGUUUAAUGAUGAUGACUCCGCAAGCCCUCUGACAUUGUGAUCACCUCAGUUUCCCAGCUCUGGCCCGGUGACCCCUCAGCCAACAGCCCUAACAUUUGCCAAGUCUUCCUGGGCCCGGCAGGAGAGCCUGCAGGAGCGCAAGCAAGCACUAUAUGAAUACGCAAGAAGGAGAUUCACAGAGAGACGAGCCCAGGAGGCUGACUGAGCUCAAAGGAACAGGAUGGCACCCAGAGCCGCAGGACGGAGACUGGGGGCAGCCCUCACCCAACUCACAACAGGCUGGAUGGGUGGGUGGUAAAAAGGGAAGGAUGAGGCU
rnacentral:sRNA from 1 species